GCCGCGAUAGUCCAGUGGUUAGAGCACUAGACACCGACUCUCGUGGUCCCGGGUUCGAUUCCCCGUCGCGGCG
rnacentral:tRNA from 1 species